GGCAAUUCCUGGGGGAGCCCUGUUUCGGGCUGAGACUCCGCGUCAUCGCGGUAACCCUUUGAACCUGAUCCGGGUAAUGCCGGCGAAGGGAAGGACAUCGCACGACUC
rnacentral:ncRNA from 2 species